UAGGGAAUCUUCGGCAAUGGGGGCAACCCUGACCGAGCAACGCCGCGUGAGUGAAGAAGGUUUUCGGAUCGUAAAGCUCUGUUGUAAGAGAAGAACGUGUGUGAGAGUGAAAAGUUCACACAGUGACGGUAACUUACCAGAAAGGGACGGCUAACUACGUGCCAGCAGCCGCGGUAAUACGUAGGUCCCGAGCGUUGUCCGGAUUUAUUGGGCGUAAAGCGAGCGCAGGCGGUUUAAUAAGUCUGAAGUUAAAGGCAGUGGCUUAACCAUUGUUCGCUUUGGAAACUGUUAAACUUGAGUGCAGAAGGGGAGAGUGGAAUUCCAUGUGUAGCGGUGAAAUGCGUAGAUAUAUGGAGGAACACCGGUGGCGAAAGCGGCUCUCUGGUCUGUAACUGACGCUGAGGCUCGAAAGCGUGGGGAGCAAACAGG
rnacentral:rRNA from 1 species